rnacentral:rRNA from 1 species
AAACAACUCUCAGCAACGGAUAUCUUGGCUCUUGCAUCGAUGAAGAACGCAGCGAAAUGCGAUACGUAGUGUGAAUUGCAGAAUUCCGCGAAUCAUCGAGUCUUUGAACGCAAGUUGCGCCCGAGGCUUGUCCAAGGGCAUUUCUGCCAGAGCGUCAC